AUGGAGCGCCACAUCCCUGCGGGUAUUUUUAAUACAUGUUCCCUCUCGAUACAGAUAAGGGCUUGCUCCUUUCUGGAGCGGUGUACGGUGAUGAUCGCGAGGCGACCUACCCAUAUACUGGACACUCCCGGAACCGGGCUACAGCCGGAUAAUAUUUAGAACCGUUGGGGAUUAUGUGCAAUGGUCUUGUAUGGUAAUGACGGACCCCCCGUGAUUAAUAUAUUUUGCAGGCCCGUUACUCUCGCAGCUGAACUUGGUCAUCUGGAGUGAUAGUCCCUGGCAACGUCAUACUACUACGCAGGCCCAGAUUCCCGGGAAAAGCUGCCGGACUCGCCCUAGAUGAGGUUUUCUCCUUGAGCUUCUUUCGAAGAGCAAGCUGUAGUAACUGCCGCGCUUGACGCCCUAUUAAAAAGCACGGCUAACUACGUGCCAGCGCCGCGGAAUACGUACGUGGCAGCCGUUUCCGGAAUUAUUGUCGUAAAGCCGCCGUACGCGGCUUUUAGUUGAUGGAAAGCCCCCGCUCACCCGCCAUGGCUUGGAAACUGAACUUGUGCAAAAAGAAAGAGGAAUUCCAUGCUACGGUGAAAUGCAC
rnacentral:rRNA from 1 species